rnacentral:rRNA from 1 species
GAAUCUUGGACAAUGGGCGCAAGCCUGAUCCAGCCAUUCCGCGUGAGUGAUGAAGGCCCUAGGGUUGUAAAACUCUUUCGUCAGGGACGAUAAUGACGGUACCUGAAGAAGAAGCCCCGGCUAACUUCGUGCCAGCAGCCGCGGUAAUACGAAGGGGGCUAGCGUUGUUCGGAUUUACUGGGCGUAAAGCGCGUGUAGGCGGGUCGUUAAGUUGGGGGUGAAAUCCCGAGGCUCAACCUCGGAACUGCCUUCAAAACUGGCGACCUGGAGCAAAGAAGAGGCGAGUGGAAUUGCGAGUGUAGAGGUGAAAUUCGUAGAUAUUCGCAGGAACACCAGUGGCGAAGGCGACUCGCUGGUCUUUUGCUGACGCUGAGACGCGAAAGCGUGGGGAGCAAACAG